AGCAGUAUGGUGUAUUUGAUGCACACGGGGUAUUUGUAAGAAUCAACGGUACUUGAAUAUAAACCCCCGAAGUCCUUGUUCGAAUCAAGGUGCUGCUC